UGGGGUAGGCAGGUGAGGGGGCGGCCAUCGCGGAAGCGGCACCAGGGCUUUUCCAGCGCGUGUGUGUGUGCGUCUGCUCAUCGAGGAGCUUCCAGAACCAUGAGCAGGCGGGCAUCGUGGGGUCUCCCAGCCGCGUCCACGCAUGGACUCCGCCCUCCGGGCCCCCACUCCCUUUUCCUCUCAUCCAGGGACCUGCGUGGAUGCGGGUCUCCCUCUGUGUGCACAGAGCCCCUCCAGCCGCGCACUCCCAGCCCGACCACCCAUCAGAGAUCAAACGGCACAACUCGGAGCCCCAGGUCAGGCCUGCCCAGCCUGAGUAGCCGUAUGCAGAUGGCUUGAGCGGGUCCAAACCUGGCAGGGCCAGGAAAGGUGCCCAGUGGCAGGGGAGCAUGCAGGAUCCCAGCAUGUGGGACCAAGGACGUGCCAGGCGCUGUCGUGUCCAGGUUUGCGAGGGAGGAGCACGCGGACGGGGAGGCCAGCAGACCGUGCGGCGGAGAGCCCGGCUCAGGGCAAGGCUGACCGCUCUCCAUGCAGCGGGGAUGGGGCUCCCGCAUGGGGAGGCCGCCCGACAGGCAGCCACGGCCGCAGGACUGCAGUUCCGCACUUGUGUCUACACUCUCCUCCCCGUGACCCCCACCCACCGCCCCAUCUUUUGGUUAACCCUGAGAUUUGCGAGCUUAACAGAAUUCAGUUUCGGACCCAGAUGGGGUCCUCCCCUGGGGAGACCGAGUCUGGCUGGUGCCUCUGCUCCUGAGGCCAGCCUCAGUUUCCUAGCCUGUGACCCCUGCCCACCCCCCUGCUCUGCACAGGCACAGCUGAAAGGAGGUCCCCUCUGCAGCCAACUGUCCUGUGGUAACAAGCCGCAGGCCCAGGGCCAGCCCCUCCCUAUUGGCAGGGACCGGGCAGAUGAAGCCACACACCUGCCGGGAGGACCGAGGAUGCCACACUAGAUCACGGUCCAGGAGUCACGUGGCUCACAGAGCUGAGGGCUUCCGGGAGGGCCGAGCGGGCGACUUCGAGGGACCCUGGGGGCUGUGGGCUCCCAUCUCCACAUACAUCCCCUCCCUAGGGCUGGGCUCCCAUAGAGCACAGCGACCAAGUACCCGAUACCGAGAGAAGGGGCAGGAAAACACCCGCUGGGGCUGCGAUCGCCGGCAGGUGCACAAGUCUGGGGUCGGAGGAACAACACAGCAGCCUUGACGUCUCCCCACAAGCAAGCGUCAGGCACCACAGGCUGAACAUACGCCCACGCGCCCCAGCCAGCAGGGUCCCAGAGCCUCAGCCCCGUCCAAGCACGAGGAGACCACAGUGUUCCGCAGAACGCGACCAGUUCUCUGUAGUUAACCGUGCCACCAAGACAAAGACCGAUGGGGACUGGCCCCGGCCACAGGGGCUGAGGAGUGAGGCGUCCCAGGCCAAGCGAGGCUCCGGAAGUGGAGCAGAUUGUUCGGGGCGGGGGGCGACGACCAGACGUCUGGGGUCCUGUGGGCGCUGUGCCCGCAGAGCCCCUCCACACGGAAGGAAGGCCCAGGGUCCCCACCCCUCAUCCCAACACCUCUGUGGACCUCACACUACUACAUAAUGAAAGGUGUUUAAAAGGAUAGAAAAACCACUGACCAGGCGUGAGGUCUGGUGCGUGCGCUCGUGCCCUGGCCCUCACGGGUCCCCAUGGCCCUGGGAGUCCAGGGCUCAGGCCCUCCCAGCUAAGUCACUGUGUAGACAGCCUUGUCCGACCUGUGGUGGGGUCUGGAGCUGAAGGAGGUCUGCAAAGAACACCCCCACCAACACGCGGAUGCAGCCCGCCACCUGGCUCGGAGGGGACCAGACAGCACGUCUGCCACCUAUUUCCACAUGACCCGAAAGCAGGACUCUGAUGUCCGUGCACCCCGCUCAGGGCAGCCCAGGCUGGAAGCGGCCUACGCGCCCGCCCGCAGAUGACGGGGACCCAGGAUGUGCGUGUGCGAACUGCGGAGUGUUCCUCCUGGAAGAGGAAGGAAAUCCUGUCACAUGCUACACAGCUGACCCUCGAGGACAUGUGCUCAGUGAGAUAAGCCAGUCACAGGACAACAAAUACUGAUCCCACUUACAUGUGGUCCCCGGGGUCCUCAAAUCCCAGAGACAGAACGUGAAUGGUGGGUGCCAGGGGCUGGGUUAGUGCUCAGUGGGGAAAGGGUUUCCGUUUGGGAAGCUCAGAAGGUUCUGGAAAUGGUAAUGCUGCUGAGCUGUGCACGGUGAAUGGUCGAAACGGUAACUGAUCCACACGUGUUCACAUCAAUAAACCACGAAAGGAUGCGUGUGUCCUCGGGCAGCAUGGCCCAGCCUCUCUCUGUUCCCACAGUGGUGGCCGCCCGCCAGCUUCCUACUGCCAAGACCCGCGUGACUGCCCACGAGCCUAAACUCGGCUGGCGGGGGGCGGGGGGGGGGGUCUUUUUCGCCCUGACCUCCUCUUCCUGCUGCCGUGGCUGCACACCCACCAUUCCAAGCCCCCCGAGCCCUCCCACCCUGGGAGAAGGCGUGGGGGUCCGGGCACACACGCUGCCUUCCUGCUGGUCUAGGUGGCCCAGUGCAGGGGCCCCCGUGGGGACAGACACAUGGCCCCCAACGGCUCCCUGUGUGGCCUGCCCCCGGGCAUGGGCACAUGACCAAGUCCUGGCCACAGGCAGGUAAGCACGUGCUGAGCCAUAACCUCCUUCCCCACCCCUCAUCCCUCCCACAGGACGACUGUCCUCGCGCCCAGAAGCCCGAGUGUCUGCACGCCACUGCAGAGGAGCCGUGGUCUCCCCGCACCUGCCCCGGGGGGCCCAGCCUUUGCUCUGACGCUUCGGACAACCCGGAGGCCUCAGGGUCCGGACCGCUGCCUGUGAGCAACACGCCUGAGGCGGGCGGUAGGGCUGCCCGCUUCCUGUUUCCACAGCAAAGCCGGGGGUGGGGUGGGGGCAGGGGAGGCACCUGCCGCUGGAAGCUCGCCUAGGCUGUAGGGUCGUCUACCCCUCAGACGCCGAGACAGAAGGCACACACAGCAGUGGCUGGGAGGGGACAGGACCCUGUGAUGGGAGUCUGGACACCAGAUCCAAGGACGUUAAGCUCACCAUGAGGGGGACCCGUGGGUGCCCGAGAAGUUGGCUGCUUCCCUCGUCUCCUGCCUGGGGCCAGGCCCCUUGCUUCCUGCUGUCCCCACCGGAGCGCAGGCUACGGGGACACGCGGAGGGGCUGUUGGACCCCCUCCUAAAGUGGGACGCUCUGUCCGCACCCAGCGAGGAGGCUCAGGAGCAUUCUGGGUCAAACUGGGAGGCCUCAGCAGGUGAGCAACGCCGUCUAAAGCAGGCCCCGCGGAGCCAGGCUGCACAUAUGGGGCCAAGCUGAGCCCAGCUCUGCAGCUAACGGAACAGGCACGCGGCCGGCCCCUCGGGCUCAGGCUCACAGCACGGGGACGCCUGCAUGGAGAAGUGAGGCCUUUGGCCGCAGGGCUGGGCCACUCACAGGAUCUGCUGUCCCCCAGGUACACGAAGAGACUAAGGCAGGACUGGCCUGCUGGGCUCAUGUGCUCACGGUCCUGGACCAGGCCUGCUCUGCCCCUCCUGCGCCCCCCCACCCCCGUGGGAAAGAGGGAGGCCUGUGUCCCAGGCCUGGGGACAGAUGGCAGCGGGCAGCCUGCGGAGCCAAUCCAGCCCCAUGGCUAUUUCUGUGCUGCCCCCCAGCUCAUACCAGAUUUCACACUCUUAACGGUAGAGAAAAAAAGUCAAAAGCAUGCUAUUCUGUGACCCUCGGAAGUUAGGUGAGCUCUGGAGCUUGGGGCCUGUAACAAAGGCACUGCCAGAGUGCGGCCAGCGCACGGACACUGUGGCCCCCGAAGCCUCAGACACCCACUCCUAGCUUCUGCGGGAGGGCCGAACCAGAUCCAGACCCCGACCCCGACCUGACGCAGGAGAAGGGGCCUGACGGUGGCCGCGUGGGCCUCAUGG